rnacentral:tRNA from 1 species
GCCUUAGUAGUAUAAAAAUUACAUUGGUCUUGUAAACCAAAAACGAAGAACUAUUCUUCCUAAGACA